GGAGGUGAGGGCAAUCUGGCUGUGACAUCUGUCACCCCACUGAUUUCCAGUGUUGAUUCCACUGAUCAGGCUGGCAAGGCAAGUGUCCCCUUCCUCACCACUCCAUGUGCAUCCCUUCCAAAGCUUGAUCAAAGAGGACAACCUUCCCCAAAUAGACUGACUGGUCUUCCAUCAUAUAGGAGUAGAUGUGCUUACUGCUAGAACCUCCAAACACUGAGGCCCUAAUUGGGGAGUCUUGAGAUUCUCAAACAAGCAGGAUGGGCCUAGACCU
rnacentral:snRNA from 1 species